rnacentral:rRNA from 1 species
UCUACAGGCUUAACACAUGCAAGUCGAGGGGCAUCAGGAAGAAAGCUUGCUUUCUUUGCUGGCGACCGGCGCACGGGUGAGUAACACGUAUCCAACCUGCCCUUUACUCGGGGAUAGCCUUUCGAAAGAAAGAUUAAUACCCGAUAGCAUAAUGAUUCCGCAUGGUUUCAUUAUUAAAGGAUUCCGGUAAAGGAUGGGGAUGCGUUCCAUUAGGUUGUUGGUGAGGUAACGGCCCACCAAGCCUUCGAUGGAUAGGGGUUCUGAGAGGAAGGUCCCCCACAUUGGAACUGAGACACGGUCCAAACUCCUACGGGAGGCAGCAGUGAGGAAUAUUGGUCAAUGGGCGCUAGCCUGAACCAGCCAAGUAGCGUGAAGGAUGAAGGCUCUAUGGGUCGUAAACUUCUUUUAUAUAAGAAUAAAGUGCAGUAUGUAUACUGUUUUGUAUGUAUUAUAUGAAUAAGGAUCGGCUAACUCCGUGCCAGCAGCCGCGGUAAUACGGAGGAUCCGAGCGUUAUCCGGAUUUAUUGGGUUUAAAGGGAGCGUAGGUGGACUGGUAAGUCAGUUGUGAAAGUUUGCGGCUCAACCGUAAAAUUGCAGUUGAUACUGUCAGUCUUGAGUACAGUAGAGGUGGGCGGAAUUCGUGGUGUAGCGGUGAAAUGCUUAGAUAUCACGAAGAACUCCGAUUGCGAAGGCAGCUCACUGGACUGCAACUGACACUGAUGCUCGAAAGUGUGGGUAUCAAACAGGAUUAGAUACCCUGGUAGUCCACACAGUAAACGAUGAAUACUCGCUGUUUGCGAUAUACAGUAAGCGGCCAAGCGAAAGCAUUAAGUAUUCCACCUGGGGAGUACGCCGGCAACGGUGAAACUCAAAGGAAUUGACGGGGGCCCGCACAAGCGGAGGAACAUGUGGUUUAAUUCGAUGAUACGCGAGGAACCUUACCCGGGCUUAAAUUGCAGUGGAAUGAUGUGGAAACAUGUCAGUGAGCAAUCACCGCUGUGAAGGUGCUGCAUGGUUGUCGUCAGCUCGUGCCGUGAGGUGUCGGCUUAAGUGCCAUAACGAGCGCAACCCUUAUCUUUAGUUACUAACAGGUUAUGCUGAGGACUCUAGAGAGACUGCCGUCGUAAGAUGUGAGGAAGGUGGGGAUGACGUCAAAUCAGCACGGCCCUUACGUCCGGGGCUACACACGUGUUACAAUGGGGGGUACAGAAGGCAGCUAGCGGGUGACCGUAUGCUAAUCCCAAAAUCCUCUCUCAGUUCGGAUCGAAGUCUGCAACCCGACUUCGUGAAGCUGGAUUCGCUAGUAAUCGCGCAUCAGCCACGGCGCGGUGAAUACGUUCCCGGGCCUUGUACACACCGCCCGUCAAGCCAUGGGAGCCGGGGGUACCUGAAGUACGUAACCGCAAGGAUCGUCCUAGGGUAAAACUGGUGACUGGG